rnacentral:rRNA from 1 species
AAUCAUGGACAAUGGGCGCAAGCCUGACACAGCCAUGCCGCGUUAGUGAAGAAGGCAAUCGGGUUGUCCAGCACUUUCGUAAGGAAAAAAUUCGCGCAGGCAAAUCCCCUGCCAGGAUGACUACACCGCCAUAAGAAGCACUGACUAACUACCUGACAGCAGCCCCGGUAAUACGUAGGGUGCGAGCGUUAAUCGGAAUUACUGGGCGUAAAGCGUGCGCAGGCGGUUGAUUAAGACAGGCGUGAAAUCCCCGGGCUUAACCUGGGAACUGCGCUUGUGACUGGUCAGCUAGAGUACGGCAGAGGGGGGUGGAAUUCCACGUGUAGCAGUGAAAUGCGUAGAGAUGUGGAGGAACACCGAUGGCGAAGGCAGCCCCCUGGGCCGAUACUGACGCUCAUGCACGAAAGCGUGGGUAGCAAACAGG